rnacentral:misc_RNA from 1 species
GAGAGAGAGAGGGGAACCCAACCCAGCCCACAAUAGGGGGAAAAGAAGAAGCUCUAAGGGCAAAAGGAUCUGCCCAAACGAGUCUUAUGGCUAGGAAUGGUGAAGUGCCUUAACCUCCCUUCUUGCUCCGUCAAGUACGCUUCACAGAGAAAAGCUUUAGAAAACUUGUCUUCCACCACUCUAUCCACAUCAUGGACAAACACAUCG